rnacentral:rRNA from 1 species
CCGUUCAGGGGUAAACCUGCGAAACUCGAAUGAGUGAACGGGGAGAUUCAUCGCUAGCUCGCGGCGUGAGAACGUGGUUUGAUGCCGCCUUAUUGGAAGCACGGACUGCGCCUCUUGACGUCCGCGAGGGGCGUGUACUUCUCCUUUAGUAAAACAUCGCCACUCGUUUAAGGUACGUCCAAGCGUCGCUAAACAAGAUUUUUUUGUUUUGCCACAUUGAGUUUUGUUUCAGCAGCGCAGGCGUGCCUUUAGACGGUCCGAGAUCGCGCACGCGUAUGAAACGCGCCCGGCUAAUGCGAGGUGACCUCGUACUCGCGAGAGUGCGUUAUCCCUGUGCUGAGUAGCUUCGGGCUGUGCGAGACUUGAUGCGAUGAUUAAGCUUCGGGCACUCGCA